CCUACGGGGGGCUGCAGUGGGGAAUAUUGGACAAUGGGCGAAAGCCUGAUCCAGCCAUGCCGCGUGUGUGAAGAAGGCCUUCGGGUUGUAAAGCACUUUCAGUGGGGAAGAAAGCCUUGGGGCUAAUACCCUCGAGGAAGGACAUCACCCACAGAAGAAGCACCGGCUAACUCCGUGCCAGCAGCCGCGGUAAUACGGAGGGUGCGAGCGUUAAUCGGAAUUACUGGGCGUAAAGCGCGCGUAGGCGGUCUGAUAAGCCGGUUGUGAAAGCCCCGGGCUCAACCUGGGAACGGCAUCCGGAACUGUCAGGCUAGAGUGCAGGAGAGGAAGGUAGAAUUCCCGGUGUAGCAGUGAAAUGCGUAGAGAUCGGGAGGAAUACCAGUGGCGAAGGCGGCCUUCUGGACUGACACUGACGCUGAGGUGCGAAAGCGUGGGUAGCGAACAGGAUUAGAUACCCGGGUAGUC
rnacentral:rRNA from 1 species